UACAGAGGUCCCGAGCGUUGUUCGGAUUUAUUGGGCGUAAAGGGUGCGUAGGCGGCGGAGUAAGUUGGGUGUGAAAUCCCGGGGCUCAACCUCGGAAUUGCAUUCAAUACUGCUUCGCUCGAGUACUGGAGAGGAGGCUGGAAUUUACGGUGUAGCAGUGAAAUGCGUAGAUAUCGUAAGGAAGACCAGUGGCGAAGGCGGGUCUCUGGACAGUUCCUGACACUGAGGCACGAAAGCGUGGGGAUCAAACAGG
rnacentral:rRNA from 1 species